rnacentral:rRNA from 1 species
UACGAAGGGGGCUAGCGUUGCUCGGAAUCACUGGGCGUAAAGGGUGCGUAGGCGGGUUCUUAAGUCAGAGGUGAAAUCCUGGAGCUCAACUCCAGAACUGCCUUUGAUACUGAGAGUCUUGAGUACCGGGAGAGGUGAGUGGAACUGCGAGUGUAGAGGUGAAAAUUCGUAGAUAUUCGCAAGAACACCAGUGGCGAAGGCGGCUCACUGGCCCGUACCUGACGCUGAGGCACGAAAGCGUGGG